rfam:Aspergillus ustus strain 3.3904 ATSC_94, whole genome shotgun sequence.
UCCGAUGUGGUGUAAUGGUUAACAUCGCUGUCUCUCACUGCUGAGUUACACAGCAGCUCGGGGUUCGAUUCCCCGCAUCGGAA